CCUACGGGUGGCAGCAGUGAGGAAUAUUGGUCAAUGGACGAGAGUCUGAACCAGCCAAGUAGCGUGAAGGAUGACUGCCCUAUGGGUUGUAAACUUCUUUUAUAUGGGAAUAAAACGUUCCACGUGUGGGAUUUUGUAUGUACCAUAUGAAUAAGGAUCGGCUAACUCCGUGCCAGCAGCCGCGGUAAUACGGAGGAUCCGAGCGUUAUCCGGAUUUAUUGGGUUUAAAGGGAGCGUAGGUGGGUUGUUAAGUCAGUUGUGAAAGUUUGCGGCUCAACCGUAAAAUUGCAGUUGAAACUGGCAGUCUUGAGUACAGUAGAGGUGGGCGGAAUUCGUGGUGUAGCGGUGAAAUGCUUAGAUAUCACGAAGAACGCCGAUUGCGAAGGCAGUUCACUGGACUGAAACUGACACUGAGGCUCGAAAGUGUGGGUAUCAAACAGGAUUAGAUACCCGAGUAGUC
rnacentral:rRNA from 1 species